CUACCAGCGCUGCAAAAUUUUAGUGCUUCAAGCGCUUUCCUGGGGUGGGAAAAUCCAAGCUGAAAUCCUUUCUCACAUGGGGGGAAUUGAGGGUGUACUAGACGGCUUAAAAUAUUUUGAUGAAAUGAAGUUAAAUUGAGAAGGAAAGUCAGGUAGAAGUUGGCAAUGCUUUGGGCAAGAUACUGUGAACAUUAUGCCAGGGUUUGCCAAGGGGUGAUCCUGUUAGGGAAAUAAAGGGUUUGCAUUCGUAUUGAUUUUCUUAAUUAGUGAUAAAAUUAAGAAGUAAGAUAAUAUUUGCCACCAAGCAUGCUCAUAUUACCACAAAUACGUGAAAUACCCCUGGGGUGGGAGAGCCAGGAAAUAAAACGGGUUGAAACUGAAAAAUGUCUGAUAAGAACAGUUGGUCACAGAAUUAAAUAAUCAGAAAUGUAGCUGCUGGAUCAAUGAAGCACAGACCAAGCUCAGCCACACACAGAGAUCCUGCCACAAUUGUAAAACGAGACCAGGAUGUCAGGUUUAUCAAGCUGUCCCAGCCUGCCGGAGAACAACAGUUCAAGUGACUCCAUGGUCCUGCAGAGUGGAUUGUUCCAACAUGUUUAAAGAGCAUCAAAGAAUGUGGCGAGACUUUGUAUAAAACUCCAUUGGAAAUUAAACUGGACAUUUCAGCAGCCAGCAAAGUGCUGAGGGCAAACUGCAGCUUGGCCAGCGUAGGAUGCAGUGGUGAUCAGAGUGCAUUGCAAGAAGGGCCCUUGGAAAGCAAUCAGUGAAAGGAGGUUACUGAGCAGAGCUGAGCAGCAGGUGUUCACUGGCUGUCCCGAGAUGUCCGUACUCCUGGCUAUGGCCUAACUUGUCCUACACAACCUGAUG